rnacentral:rRNA from 1 species
UACAGAGGUCCCGAGCGUUGUUCGGAUUCACUGGGCGUAAAGGGUGCGUAGGUGGUGAGGAAAGUCGGAUGUGAAAUCUCCGGGCUUAACCCGGAAAUGGCAUUGGAAACUACCUUGCUAGAGGUUUUGAGGGGGGACUGGAAUUCUCGGUGUAGCAGAUGAAUGCGUAGAUAUCGAGAGGAACACCGAUGGCGAAGGCAGAUCUCUGGGCCGUAACUGACGCUGAGGAGCGAAAGCAUGGGGAGCGAACAGG